UUGCUCACACAACGUCUUACUGACCAAAACAUGUUGAUAUUUCCACCAUAAAUGUUGAUUAGGAGAACCUCUAAUGAUUAUAACGACUGGUACUCCGAUAUGUAUAUGUAGUAGCAGAGAAGUCUCUGUGAGAGUGGUAAGUUAUCAUUUAAAGUGUAUGGCAAUCUGGCUCGGCAAGAUCAGUUUGACAUCCCAGACGGUGAAGAGUUUAAUAGAAUGAAGGAAGAAAAUGCCAAUCUACAAGAAAAGUUGAAUGAUGCUGACAUUCUUAAUCGAUAUUCCUUGCUGUUGUCUGAGAUACAUGCUCAAGAAUCUGUGGAACUCUCUAGCAUAUGAAUCUAGUCUUCCAGCAUAACUUGAAAAGCAAUCAAGGGGUUGUAUUUGGAAGCUUUGAAUCAGUAGAUAAGGUGAAAAAAGGAUGUUCAGAGAUGUAUGGGAUGCCAUACCUGAGAACUCACCCAUAAAUCCAAAAGAAUGUAAGGGAUAAAAUCUGUUCUAGUCAAUUAGAUGUUACAGACUUGCAACUAAUUGUCGUGCGUUAAAUAAUUGCAUAUUUCUUGGAUGGCAGAUUUCAGAAAUGGAUAUUGGCUUAGUAGUUGGUGGUGCAUUUCUCUCUUCAGGCCUGCAAGUUUUCUUUGAUAGGAUUGCACCUCAGGGUGAGCUGCUCAAGAUGUUUCAGAAGCGUAAGAAUGAUGUUCGGAUCUUAAAGAAGCUGAAAAUCACUUUGCGUGGUCUUCAAGCUGUGGUGAGUGAUGUAGAGAAUAAGCAGGAGUCAAAUCAAUCUGUGAGCCAGUGGCUUGAUGAGGCUGUAAAUCUUGAUGGAAGAAGUUAAUUAUGAAGCUUUGAGGCUUAAGGUGGAAGGUCAGCAUCAAAAUCUUGCAGAAAUUAAACAAGCAAGAAAUUUUGUGGAUUUUUUCUUUGCUUGUCUAUUAGCUUCAUUUGGUCGUUCUAAAGACAACUGAAAUUGAUAGAUAGAGGGAGUUCGACAGGACUAACCAAAUAGGCUGUUAAAAUUUACAUCACCCUAAUUACCUUAGUCUUAAAUAGUUUUUCCUACAAUUGUUUUCAAGUUUUGCAUGUUUGUAUGUUAUGAGAAGUAUCAUCUCUAGAAUGGUUCUAUGGAAAACUAACAACUUUUCUAUUU